AGACCAACGACACACCCCCCUCCAUUUUCGAAAAUCUCUUUUGCCGCCACAUAUCUCUCUUGUUCCUUCGCGCCGACGCGUCGCCUAGCCAUAGUUGCAUUGCCCCGCCGCCGUUGCACAGCCCAGUCGCCGGACGACGACCGCCCACGCCGCGCACCGCCUUGAACCACGGCGUUUUGAAGCUGUCAGCUCAAAUCGGCAUAAUCUAUUUGAGUUUCCUUGUGUUUCAUUGUUAAGUGAGCCGUGCAACCAUCGUUCGUCGUCAUUCGGCAAGUCGAACCAUUUUAAUCUCGCUCUUCUCAACUCCGUGUCGUUGGAUCUAAGUUUUUGGAUUUAAAAUUUUGAAGAGUUUAAACUGUGGUCUAGCCUUUCGGAAGCUCAAAAUCGGACAUUUUGGCACAUUUUGGGCCAAAUUGAAGUGGGGAAAGCGUAUAACCCCGGGGGAUCGAGUUAUUGACUCGCCACCUACGGUUGUCAGGGGAUUCUAGGACUGAAAAAGGCCGUGACCGGAGAUCCGAGAACCUGAACCUAGGUGAGGACAUGGAUGGAGGAUUUUGAUAGGCUUCGGGCCUAGCUUAACCCAUGGUUGGGUAGCUCUAUGUGCACAUAGGAGCGAUAUGUAGUUACUAUGGUAGGUGCUAAGUGUGCGUGAGCUCUGUUUGGCCGCGUGUUUCCUUGUGGAUAUGGAGCACGUGUGAGCUAUUCCUGGGCCGUAUACGUAGUAUGCUAUCAUGGUUGGUUCGAUUGGUUGACGGUUGAUGUCAUGGCGGGUAUUAAGGAUGCGUGAGCUAGUUUUGGCCGAAUGAUUCUUUAUCAUGUGCGAGCUAUCUUUGGCCGUAUCUUUAGAUGCCUUGCCAUGGUUGUACGGAUUACAGGUUUGUUGGUGGUACAAUGGUUAUGAGUUAAUGGCGUUUUUCACUAAUAUUGUAUUUCUAAUGCAUAUUUAUAAUUUUUCUCUUCAAGUAUGUCUUAUGAGCUUUAUAUUUAUGACACUUGUCAUUCACUAAGUAUUCAACUUACAUUUAAAUGUUUUU